rnacentral:rRNA from 1 species
CAGGGAAUCUUGCGCAAUGGGCGAAAGCCUGACGCAGCAACGCCGCGUGGGGGAUGAAGGCCCUCGGGUUGUAAACCCCUUUCAGUCGGGACGAAAAUGACGGUACCGACAGAAGAAGCCCCGGCCAACUACGUGCCAGCAGCCGCGGUGACACGUAGGGGGCAAGCGUUGUCCGGAUUUAUUGGGCGUAAAGGGCUCGUAGGCGGUUCGACAAGUCGGGUGUGAAACCUCCAGGCUCAACCUGGAGUCGCCGCUCGAAACUGUUGUGACUAGAGUCCGGUAGAGGAGCAUGGAAUUUGUGGUGUAGCGGUGGAAUGCGCAGAUAUCACAAGGAACACCAGUAGCGAAGGCGAUGCUCUGGGCCGGUACUGACGCUGAGGAGCGAAAGCAUGGGGAGCGAACAG